rnacentral:rRNA from 1 species
UACGGAGGGUGCAAGCGUUAAUCGGAAUUACUGGGCGUAAAGCGUGCGCAGGCGGUUUGUUAAGUCUGUUGUGAAAUCCCCGAGCUCAACUUGGGAAUUGCAAUGGAUACUGGCAGGCUGGAGUAUGGUAGAGGAAGGUGGAAUUCCCGGUGUAGCAGUGAAAUGCGUAGAGAUCGGGAGGAACACCAGUGGCGAAGGCGGCCUUCUGGACCAAUACUGAAGCUCAUGCACGAAAGCGUGGGGAGCAAACAGG